UUCAGAGAAAGACGUUUUUGUCUUGUUAAGAGACUUCCCGGCUUCUCAGUGAAGUUAUUGCAGAAUAUUAAGCAGAGUUCCCUGUGUCAUACAAUUCUUUUCCCAUAUGGAUCAUUACAGAGUACUGAGAAGAGUUCCCUGUGCUAUACAAUAAAAUAGAGCCCUGCAGAGAUGAAGGGAACUGCCUGAGGACCCAUACCUGG